rnacentral:rRNA from 1 species
UACGUAGGGGGCAAGCGUUGUCCGGAUUUAUUGGGCGUAAAGAGCGUGUAGGCGGCUAGAUAGGUCCGUUGUGAAAACUCGAGGCUCAACCUCGAGACGUCGAUGGAAACCAUCUGGCUAGAGUCCGGAAGAGGAGAGUGGAAUUCCUGGUGUAGCGGUGAAAUGCGCAGAUAUCAGGAAGAACACCCGUGGCGAAGGCGACGUCCUGGACCGGCAUUGACGCUGAGGCGCGAAAGCCAGGGGAGCAAACGGG